rnacentral:rRNA from 1 species
GUGGGGAAUAUUGGACAAUGGGCGCAAGCCUGAUCCAGCCAUGCCGCGUGAGUGAUGAAGGCCUUAGGGUUGUAAAGCUCUUUCAGUGGGGACGAUAAUGACGGUACCCACAGAAGAAGCCCCGGCUACCUUCGUGCCAGCAGCCGCGGUAAUACGAAGGGGGCUAGCGUUGUUCGGAUUUACUGGGCGUAAAGCGCACGUAGGCGGAUCGUUAAGUCGGGGGUGAAAUCCUGGAGCUCAACUCCAGAACUGCCUUCGAUACUGGCGAUCUUGAGUCCGGAAGAGGUGAGUGGAACUCCUAGUGUAGAGGUGGAAUUCGUAGAUAUUAGGAAGAACACCAGUGGCGAAGGCGGCUCACUGGUCCGGUACUGACGCUGAGGUGCGAAAGCGUGGGGAGCAAACAGGAUUAGAAACCCGGGUAGUCC